CACGCUCCCGGGUCACAGCGCCCCCUGGCGGCUCCAACGAGGCGAGCCGAGAGCGACACAGCCGAGCGAUCUGAAGGCAUGGAGGAUGAUCAUGUAUAAGGAGGAACAAGAGACCCAAUGCUAUCCAUAGCCAUUCAUGACACUGCCUUACACAGGUUAUACAGCUCUCUUCUCUUCCCAGCCACGAAGACGGUUUUACAGGCCAGGACUACAAGCCCACCGGCCCCCACUCUGUUCUCAGCUCUUCCACCGAGGCACCGGGAUGGGAUGCCCGAGAGACUGAGAACCAGAUGGCCCUGGCCUCCUUGCAGGCCCAGAGACUGCGCUUUACCACCUCGAAGCAGUGUCCUGUGGCCUCGCUACAAUCCAACACCAGCCCCAGGGACGGCGUGAGGUAUGUCAAAGUUGACAAGUAAAGCUGAUUAUGACUGAAACCAACACUCAAUCUACUUUGUCUAUCUGAGAUACACACAAAUUCUUGAAAGUGAAGGUAUUGAAGGUGGGCAUAACCUUUGACCUUUUUUUAAUUUCAGAAGUAACAUUCCAUUGACUCUGGCCCAUAAGGAGUCCACCAAACCGACCUCACACAUUGUAACAUUUUAUGUUUGAAGUAGUAAUCUCAGAUACUGCAUACAGACUGCAGUGCUCACCCCUGCCUUCCCAAAUGCUCCCUUGGGGAAUGGAAAGAGAUGUUUGGGUUUCCUGAGAUGAACUGUUUAACACAAAGACCUGAGAUUGGUUUUUCCUAAUAGACAAACUUGUAGCAGGCAGCACAAGAGCCCCAACACCCGGGUGAGUCAGUGAUGUAACCAAGACGCACUGUAACCUCUUUCCAAGCUCUAGGAUGCAAGGCACAUCACAUAAAAACUGAUUCAUGUAAACUAUAUGGCACAGCAGAUGUCUGUUUCCUUAUUUACCAACUUGUGGAUCGCCCAUUUAUCAUUCGGAUGCACAAAGUGGGC
ensembl:lncRNA